CUUUUUCUCCUCCCACUGGUCUUCUAAGCAGAUUGAAGCUGCUUCAUCUCAUUCCUGAUUUGUCCUGAUUCCCUCAGUGGCUUGCUCCUGCAUUAGUAAUAUAAAAUGGCCCAAAUGGGUUUAAAAUGGUCACAAAUUGGUCUUGAGCAGUUCGAAUAUUUUUUGACAAAGAAACUAAAUUCUUGUCAGUACAAAUCUAUUUUGACCACUUUAAACCAGUUCUGCAGAACUCGAGCCUGUUGUCAGUAAACCUAGGAAGAUGGCUGAAGACUAUGCUGAUCCAUGCCAAAGCAAAGAAUCAGAGAAAGGUAAGAUUCAUUAAGACUUGGGUGGAAAGAGGUUAACAUGGGCAGAAUCUUGGAAGACUUCAAGAAGAAGGUGGAAUUCAAACUGAGUCAUGAAUAGCUAUUGAAAAGUUAUUAAAAAGAAAAAAUCAUGAAGAAAAGAAACAGAAAAUAGAUCAUGGAGUCUGUCUUAUCUUCUUUUCCUGUGUAAUCAAGAAAGCCUUGGCAGAGUAUUAUUA